ACGAACGCUGGCGGCACGCUUAACACAUGCAAGUCGAACGAGAGAAGAGAAGCUUGCUUUUCUGAUCUAGUGGCGGACGGGUGAGUAACACGUGAGCAAUCUGCCUUUCAGAGGGGGAUACCGAUUGGAAACGAUCGUUAAUACCGCAUAAUAUAAUUGAACCGCAUGGUUUGAUUAUCAAAGAUUUAUCGCUGAAAGAUGAGCUCGCGUCUGAUUAGCUAGUUGGUAAGGUAACGGCUUACCAAGGCGACGAUCAGUAGCCGGACUGAGAGGUUGAUCGGCCACAUUGGGACUGAGACACGGCCCAGACUCCUACGGGAGGCAGCAGUGGGGAAUAUUGCACAAUGGAGGAAACUCUGAUGCAGCGAUGCCGCGUGAGGGAAGAAGGUUUUAGGAUUGUAAACCUCUGUCUUCAGGGACGAAAAAAGACGGUACCUGAGGAGGAAGCUCCGGCUAACUACGUGCCAGCAGCCGCGGUAAUACGUAGGGAGCGAGCGUUGUCCGGAAUUACUGGGUGUAAAGGGAGCGUAGGCGGGAUCGCAAGUCAGAUGUGAAAACUAUGGGCUUAACCCAUAAACUGCAUUUGAAACUGUGGUUCUUGAGUGAAGUAGAGGUAAGCGGAAUUCCUAGUGUAGCGGUGAAAUGCGUAGAUAUUAGGAGGAACAUCAGUGGCGAAGGCGGCUUACUGGGCUUUAACUGACGCUGAGGCUCGAAAGCGUGGGGAGCAAACAGGAUUAGAUACCCUGGUAGUCCACGCCGUAAACGAUGAUUACUAGGUGUGGGGGGACUGACCCCUUCCGUGCCGCAGCAAACGCAAUAAGUAAUCCACCUGGGGAGUACGACCGCAAGGUUGAAACUCAAAGGAAUUGACGGGGGCCCGCACAAGCAGUGGAGUAUGUGGAUUAAUUCGAAGCAACGCGAAGAACCUUACCAGGUCUUGACAUCGUAUGCAUAGCUCAGAGAUGAGUGAAAUCUCUUCGGAGACAUAUAGACAGGUGGUGCAUGGUUGUCGUCAGCUCGUGUCGUGAGAUGUUGGGUUAAGUCCCGCAACGAGCGCAACCCUUACUGUUAGUUGCUACGCAAGAGCACUCUAGCAGGACUGCCGUUGACAAAACGGAGGAAGGUGGGGAUGACGUCAAAUCAUCAUGCCCCUUAUGACCUGGGCCUCACACGUACUACAAUGGCUGUCAACAGAGGGAUGCAAAGCCGCGAGGUGGAGCGAACCCCUAAAAGCAGUCUUAGUUCGGAUUGUAGGCUGCAACCCGCCUACAUGAAGUCGGAAUUGCUAGUAAUCGCAGAUCAGCAUGCUGCGGUGAAUACGUUCCCGGGCCUUGUACACACCGCCCGUCACGCCAUGGGAGUCGGUAACACCCGAAGCCUGUAGUCUAACCGCAAGGAGGACGCAGUCGAAGGUGGGAUUGAUGACUGGGGUG
rnacentral:rRNA from 1 species